CAUAUCCUCUACAUAAUAUACAGUUGUCAGAAAUGUGUUGGAUUUGACAGGUGAGGUGACCAAAAAGUGUAAAGGAGACAAAAUGUGAAAACUAUGCAACAUUUAUCCCCUAUGAACUUCAGUCUCUUUCUGGAAUAAACAUGAGAAUUCCUUGCUUUAAUGUUGACUGGAUAUAAUAGCUAGGUUAUUUUGAUAUAGAUUUAUAAAAUCACGGAAAGGCAAUAUUAGCUGUGUCUUUCUUCUGGUGACUAUAUUUUUGUACUGCAGAUGAAGGUUGUGAUUAGUGCUCAUCUCUUGGAACCUUGUACAAUUGGCACAGAAAGAAGGAAUUGGGGAUGGCAUGCUGGAAACCCCAGCAUCUUAAGUUUACCAUACUGGUGUGUGCUUUAGUCUGCUUACCUUUUCUCCAAAUUGGGAUGUAUAACUUAGUCUAAAAGUUCCCUAC